CGGAGGGAGCUAGCGUUGUUCGGAAUACUGGGCGUAAAGCGCACGUAGGCGGCGUCGCAAGUCAGGGGUGAAAUCCCGGGGCUCAACCCCGGAACUGCCCUUGAAACUGCAAUGCUAGAAUCUUGGAGAGGCGAGUGGAAUUCCGAGUGUAGAGGUGAAAUUCGUAAGAUAUUCGGAAGAACACCAGUGGCGAAGGCGACUCGCUGGACAAGUAGUUGACGCUGAGGUGCGAAAAGCGUGGGGGAAGCAAACGAGGAUUA
rnacentral:rRNA from 1 species